rnacentral:misc_RNA from 1 species
UGAGUUUUGCGAAGGGUGGAUGGCAAAGGGCGCGAGGGAAGAGGGAAAGGAUCGUCUAGCGAGGAUCGAGUUACUAAUUAAUUUUCGCAAUUUGCGGUUUCUGCAAACUAUAAUACGUCGCCACGAUGUGUUUGCUUGGAAACAGCAGCGGUGAAAUAACUACGAUGCUGCAGACGAUGAGGAGAAUUAACAAAACGAAACUACAUAGUCUAAAGUCCCUAUAGAUAUUAUAAUUGGAUAUAAUUAAAUUCUGACUGGAUGAAAAUUAUAUAAUUAUUCAAAAUAUUCAUCUCUUGUAUAAUAAUCGUAAUAAUACAUAAUACGUAAUAGCUACGCAAAAUUUUCAGAAAUAAUAUGACGACGGCCGCGUCUCUACAACGAGAGUAUAAUUAAUAAGUUUUUUUUUCUCUUCUUUCCCUUUUGCCUUUUAUAAUAUCUAUUCGUAAAAUAGAAGGUGAAGAGUGAAGCAGAGAGAGAAAGAAAGAGCAGAAAAAAUGACGGCCCGCGAAGUGAAAAAACCAAAGCAAAACGAAAAAAAGAAAUAAUGUAAAAAAAAAGUAAAGACGUUUAUGAUAUUAUAUUGUACAUUUAAGAAGGUUCACUGAUAUUGUACCCACCCGCGUAGGUUCGGUCUUUCUCUUUUAGAUUAUUAUUAUUACAUUAUUGAGGAAGUUCAAGAGCGAUUCAUAUCCCUUUUUCAAGAUAUAACCGCAUCAUCUGCUCUUAUAAUAUCUGUACGUAAAUAUCAAAGAAUAAGGGUGUGGGUAUUGUAAAAAUCGUAAGACAAAAGGGAAAAAUCAAGAAAUCAAGAGAAAAAAAAGGAAAAAAAGGGAGAAGGUUGAGACCCGGGCGAAAAGCUCGAAAAAAACAAGAUGUUAUUUCUGUGAAGAGUUUGUUGAGAAACGUUUGCUUGGUUCUUUCAGUUCGGUUGUGGGUCAACGUCGUUGAUGUUGCAGAGAAGCCCAUACACGUAUAGCCUAUUUUCCUAUGGGUCGUUUUCCUCUGAAAAGCUUUCAAACCAUAUGUGUA